rnacentral:rRNA from 1 species
AAUCAACGCUGGCGGCGUGCCUCAGACAUGCAAGUCGAACGAUUAAACUUUCCUUCGGGAAAGAUAUAAAGUGGCGCACGGGUGAGUAACACGUAGGUAAUGUACCUUUGGGUGGGGAAUAACUUAGGGAAACUUAAGCUAAUACCGCAUAAUGCAGCGGCUCCUUCGGGAGACAGUUGUUAAAGAUUUAUCGCCUAAAGAGCAGCCUGCGGCAGAUUAGCUAGUUGGUAAGGUAACGGCUACCAAGGCUACGAUCUGUAUCCGACCUGAGAGGGUGGUCGGACACACUGACACUGAAUAACGGGUCAGACUCCUACGGGAGGCAGCAGUCGGGAAUUUUGGGCAAUGGGCGAAAGCCUGACCCAGCAACGCCGCGUGAAGGAUGAAGUCUUUCGGAUGUAAACUUCGUAAGAAUAGGAAGAAUAAAUGACGGUACUAUUUGUAAGGUCCGGCUAACUACGUGCCA